GUCAAGUUCUCCGUUAGAAGCGGUUUUGUUGCGGUGAAAACAGCUUGUUUUGCGCAACAACAAAGGGAACUGCAGGGUGAGUGCAGCAGAGUGCAGACUGAGGAAAAGUCUUCAUCACUUGGGAAUAUUGGCGGACCAGAUUAAGUCAUGUGCAACAGAUUGCAAACAAGUUUUGGUGUGGAGAAGAACAUCCAGGGUCUGCAGUGGAGAUGCAGAUGCAUUACAGAUGACAAAGAAGAAGUUAAAGACAGCUGCUGGGAUGGAACUUUCACCAGGCGAAAACGCAAGUGAAGAGCAGAAACGGUUGCUGUUUCCAGACCAGGGGUUGUCCCAGACAGGGCCAUUGCUUCAAGGUGGCCGGUGCCCCCGAGAAAGCCUGCUUAUUUAGGUCGAUGAGAAUGACAGUUUGGUGAAAACCCCUUAAAAGUG